UACAGAGGUCCCAAGCGUUGUUCGGAUUUACUGGGCGUAAAGGGUGCGUAGGUGGCGAGGUAAGUUCGAUGUGAAAUCUCCGAGCUCAACUCGGAAAUGGCAUUGAAUACUAUCCCGCUUGAGGGUCGGAGGGGAGACUGGAAUUCUCGGUGUAGCAGUGAAAUGCGUAGAUAUCGAGAGGAACACCAGUGGCGAAGGCGAGUCUCUGGACGACUCCUGACACUGAGGCACGAAAGCUGGGGGAGCGAACGGG
rnacentral:rRNA from 1 species